CUUUUCUGUUUUUAGAAAAAACCAAAGGCAAGGAGGGGAAGUUCCAGGAUAUGCAUUAGUGACUUGAGAAAACAUGUUACACUGAUCUUGACAGAAUAAUAGAAUUUGAACCAGCAAUAAAAAGCUAUGAACCAAUAACAAUGGAGGAGUCUAACGAGAGUUUUAGGGAUGAUGGAAAGAGAAGCUAAUGAAAGUAAAGAAAUGGAAUAGAAUACAAUGGAAGGUCAAUUAACCUUGCUUUGUUUAGCAGUUUUAAAUGAUCAGGAGGCUAAUGUCUGUAAAGGUAUAUAACAACUUUAUAUUACACCCUUAAGCAGUUUAGCCCCAAUUUGAGGGUUAAGACAAAUUGACAUUUGAAGGGAAUAAUUGUAAUAUUUGAUGUUCAGUAACUUUCCUUCACACCCUAAGGCCUAAAAUAAUUUCCCAAAACAAGUUUAGGAGGUUAACCUUCAUUGUGCUCCACCCUCUAUCAUAAGAAAAUGCAUACCUUCCAUUCUUGAGCUCCUUGACCGCUCUCAGGAUUCAGUUUCUUGAUAGCCAUAGCUGUCUUCCUUAUUCCCCUUGGCAUCACCUUUUCCUUAAGCCAACCCUUAUAAACAACACCAAAACCUCCUUUUCCCACCACCAUAUCAGGUCUAAAAUUAUGUGUUGCAGCCUUCAGUUGUGCAUAAGUAAAAGCUCUCAAGUUCGAGUACGCAAUGAUUGGUCCAUUUGUGAAGGCCUCAAUUUGCUCUGUAGCAUUGUUGCCCCAAAUAGUUGUGAAGCUGCCGCUUGAUUGAGAUAUCCAUGUUGUCAGGUUGGUGCUUGUUGCAGAGUAUCCAUUGCUGUCAUAGACAUUUUCAUCUGCAGGAGCUGUAUUACUUGCAGUGACAUGAUGGAUGUUGGUUGGAUGAUCUGGGGUUGGCUUAUGAGCUGGACGGCACCAGCAAUUCCCCAUCAGCUACGAUUAUACACGCUUCCUUAUCGUUGAGGAGCCUCUGCAAAGCCGGCGAUGGCCACAAAAUUCUGUAAUAGAGAGAAAGGAAGUUUUGAUACGCUUCCUUAUCUCAACAGUAAAAUUGUCUUUCACAUUAACGUUUUCCACCCAUAAUGAAAUCCAUGGCUGCAUAUCUAAUUCAAAGUCAAAGACAGCGUGACAGGAAAAGAACAAGAACUAGAGCAGCAAAAAAUUUG
rnacentral:misc_RNA from 1 species